UACGUAGGGUGCAAGCGUUGUCCGGAAUUAUUGGGCGUAAAGAGCUCGUAGGUGGCCUGUCGCGUCGGCUGUGAAAACUCGGGGCUCAACUCCGAGCUUGCAGUCGAUACGGGCAGGCUAGAGUUCGGCAGGGGAGACUGGAAUUCCUGGUGUAGCGGUGAAAUGCGCAGAUAUCGGGAAGAACACCUAUGGCGAAGGCAGCUCUCUGGGACGGUACUGACGCUGAGACGCGAAAGCGUGGGGAGCGAACAGG
rnacentral:rRNA from 1 species